GCCCUAGUAUUUCUUGCAUGGUAUAUCUCUAUAUUCUCCUCAAAUUUGUUGUGUUGCUCUUUUAUUUGGGUUAUGCCCGUCCUUGUGCAACAUCCUACAUGGAUGCUAUAUCAAGGGGGAAUUUUGGUACUCUUGGCCCAGUUUAUUUUUGAUUUUGCAUAUUCCCAAUUCAAUUUUUUAUUUUAUUUUUCUUUGGUUAGUUCCAAAUUUUUUAAAUGGUUUUGUCCCUGGCCCCAUCAGAUACAUUCGAGUUGUAUGUGUAUUCAACACUUAGCAAAUAAGUUCAUUCCGUAUCAAAAAUAUGUAUUUUCGUUUUUUUUAUAGUGCAUGCACAUUUUUUUAAUAUUGGAUUCACAUAUUUGUUGAGUGAUGAAUGUGUGCGUAGCUGUCCAAUGGGGUCUGAGGCAGAAGUGUGAAAAUUUAGAAACUGGGCCAUUCCUGCCAAGGAAAAAUGCCUGAAUUGCACAAAAGAAAGUAACAUGAGUUGAAAGAGCAAGAUCUUACAAGGUCAUCAGAACUCCAUUUCCAACCAUGCGUUUCCAAACACUGGUAAUAUUUCAUGUGCAGGUGAGUUUUUGACAACAGAGGAAGCAAGAAAUCGUCAACGGAUUUAUGAUGAGCUUGCAUCCAGUGGAAGGUUUUCCCCUGCACUUCUGGUUGUGAGGGAGCAUCUACCUUCGGGCAAAGCAUGCCUGAGGGUGAAUAUUGAUGCAUCAAAAGUUGGAAAUGUGGCUCGCUUCAUCAAUCACUCAUGUGAUGGUGGUAAUCUGGCAGUUAUCCUGGUAAGAAGCCCCGGCUCGUUGCUCCCAAGACUUUGUUUCUUUUCUGCCAUGGAUAUACAGGAAGAUGAAGAGCUGACCUUCAGCUAUGGAAGUGCCAAGCUCAGGCAAUACGGCCAGCAUUGCUUCUGUGGAAGCUCUGUUUGCUAUGGUAUGUUGCCUUCAGAAGAAACUUGAUGCUGCUUUCUGACUCCAUAAGAGUAUGAAGGACUCUAGUUCGAAAGUGCCAUGGCCAUUAUUCAUGGAUUACUCACCUAUCUCCUUUGCAUAUUUCUGACGGAUGAGAAUGUCAGGAAAAGACUAGAGCCAUAGGAGCGUAACAAUAUCAGUCAGUUUGGGACGUUGAUUUGAUGCUCAAUCCAGUUCCAUAAUUGGUCAUCAAAAGUGUCAUUGGCAUGUGGGUUGUCAAGUUUGGACGAACUUCUUAUUCAAAGUUCUUUGUUGGGUAUCUCCAGUAUGUGAUGUAGGACACUAGAGUCAAGCACUGUGUACAAGCAGUGACAUGCAUAAAAAAGGACAAGGUCUCUUAUGAUUUAAAAGUUCUUGAUGCCUGCUGUCCGGAACUGAGAAAUAGUGCAGAUCUGAAUUGGAUGCCAAUUAUAGUGGAGAGAGGGAGUUUGUGUAUUAGCCCUCGGAUUUUGGUAGGUCUGAAAACGUAAGAGUUUCUAGGAUUGAGAGGAUGUCAAACUAGGUGAACUUAAGAUUAAGACUGGUCUAAUGAGAUUAGAAGUGAAAAGGAAGCUUUUUUAUAUCAGAUCAAGGUCAAGCAUAGAAUAAAUCUGAUCUAGCUAGUGAUAAAUUAGCAGCCAAGAAAAAAACAGCAGUAAGGAAAUUGAGAAUGAUGAAACUGUAAUGGAUAAGAUUUUGAUAGCAUGCGGUGCAUCAACAUAAAGAAGAUGAAUAGCGGCAGAAAUAUGUAAAGAAAAAGAGAGUAGCAGAAAGUGCAGGAUGUAAGAAAAAAUAAGCAGCAGCGGCAGCAAUAUGAGGCCUCCUCUUAAAUCUCAAUCUAGAUUCCAUGUACAAUCUGUUUAGAUACGUAGGGCGGUC